GUAAGAUGAUUUGUUGAACCUAGUUUUUACGUAGCGAGGAUAGUUGCUUAUCAUAGACAGUUUUUAUCUGUAUAUUGCGUGUGUUAUAUGAAACGGAUUCAAAUUUUCUUCAUUAAAAGGAAGUUUAUUUGUCAUUCGCCGAAAAAAUCUCAAAUUGUUCUAUAUAACAUACAUAUAUUACAUUCAUGAGAGAUAUCUACAAGUAUUGGAGUACUUUCGCGAAUCACCGCUACGUUACAGGAACUGAAACACCGAGGAACGGAGCAACGGAGAACUAUACGCGGAAAUUGCUGCGGGCACGUAACAAAAUUUGUCAGGAGAUGAGAUUUUCAGCGAAGGCAGUUAUGUACGCCGUAAGAAUGAAUGGCCGACCGGUGGAAAACGAGUUCUCGUGGUGCUAACAAUAAGAGCCCGUCCGUUUUCCUGAUGAAAGGGAUUUCCAACAUUUCAUACAGACGGAUCCUCAUAAAUGAAAUGCUAUUACGGAGCAAUAAUCGAAUACGUUAUCGAUAAAGCAGAAAAAACUACUUGGCCAAUAGAUAUAUUCAAAAUUGUUAAGGUUGAGGUUGACUGAUUGAAGAACGAGUGGAUGAAUUUGUAAUAAAAAAAUAUAUUGAAAUAAUUAAAGGUAUAAGUAUAAGUGUAAUGUAUAAGUUUAUGCUGAUUCAGAGCCUUAUUCUUUUAAUGUUACAAUACAAAGGAAUCGAUAGGGA
rnacentral:misc_RNA from 1 species